rnacentral:lncRNA from 1 species
GACCUAAGGCCGUAUGCUUACCACUCUUCAUACUUAAACUCUCACCAACUGAGAUAUUAUAAUUAUUUGAAAUAAAAUCGAGCAAAAACAUAUAUGACAGUAAAAGUUUUUUUUAUAUAUUUUUUAAUUCUUUUUAAAUAAAAGUGUAUUUUUUUUACGAAUUAAAGAUUUUUUUAAAUAUCUUUAUGUAUUUUAGAAUUUAAUAUAGUAGAGAUCAAAAUGAACUAACCUAGAUUAAUUUAAUAAUAUUCAUUUUUUUAUUUGUUACUUUAAUGAUUAUUAAUUUUUGGUAUAUUUAUUAAACUCUAUUAUUAUUUUGGUAUUUUUAUCAUUUAAAUGAGAAAAUAAUUAUUUACACACAUGAAGCCUAUAUUUUUCUUUAUUUUUGAAUUAAUAGAGAAAAGAGAAUAUUUUUGGUUUUUUAGGGAACUAAAGAAGUAAUUUUUGUUAUUUAAAUUUAAAUGAAAAGGAAAUAUUUUUUUUAUUUAAUAAAUAUCUAAAAGAUUUACUUUAGGAUUAUGAUUCUUUAAAUAAAACAAUACAUGGUGCAAAGAGCAAUGGUUCUAAAUCCCAAUAUAAUUACAAAGCCUAAAAAAACAAUUUUAUUUUAUAAAAACUAGUAACUAAGAUAAAGUAGUAAAAAAUAAUAAUAAAAAAGGGAAAGAAAGAAUAAAUAAAUAAAAAAGACAAAACAUAAAACGUACACAUGUGGUAGCAGCGGUGUCCAUUUGCAUAACCUGUAGCAUGUCUUGACCUUUUCCAAAACCAAACUUUCAUAGCCACUCCGAAAUCAACAUGUGGCAGCAAGAUCGGAGACGUUGUGGCGUUGGUUGGAUGGCGAGCAGA